rnacentral:rRNA from 8 species
UUAAAUUGAAGAGUUUGAUCAUGGCUCAGAUUGAACGCUGGCGGCAGGCCUAACACAUGCAAGUCGAACGGUAACAGGAAGCAGCUUGCUGCUUUGCUGACGAGUGGCGGACGGGUGAGUAAUGUCUGGGAAACUGCCUGAUGGAGGGGGAUAACUACUGGAAACGGUGGCUAAUACCGCAUAACGUCGCAAGACCAAAGAGGGGGACCUUCGGGCCUCUUGCCAUCAGAUGUGCCCAGAUGGGAUUAGCUUGUUGGUGAGGUAACGGCUCA